GCACCCCGAUGCCACUUCUGCUUUAUUUACUGAUUUGUAAUCAGUAGGUCCGCGGUUCGAGUCCGUGUGGGGGCACCA
rnacentral:tRNA from 1 species